rnacentral:rRNA from 1 species
AAGCUCGUAGUUGAAUUUCGGAUUCUUCCAAUUGGUCCAUCUUUUAGAUGAGUACUGGUUGUGUGGGGUCUAUCCGCCUGGUGAUACGUAAUGUCCUUUAUUGGAUGUUGCGGGUAGUCAGGACCUUUACCUUGAAAAAAUUAGAGUGUUUAAAGCAGGCUUAUGCCGGAAUACAUUAGCAUGGAAUAAUAGAAUAGGACGAAGUUGUUUUAUUUUGUUGGUUUCUAGGACACCGUAAUGUUAAUAGGGAUAGUUGGG